GAGGAAGUAGUUGCAGCAG
rnacentral:misc_RNA from 1 species